GCUGACGGAUACCGGAGCUGUGAUCUCUCUGCAGCUGCCCGAGGCCGAGCAGAUCACUCCGGCCGACCCGGCCCAGCGCGGCUGUCAGUUGUCAUUCCGGUUCUCCAACGCGCACAACAUCCACGCCGAGAUGAAGCGACGCGGAGUGGAGUGUGACAUCCGUCACGGCGAGGCGGGCUCUCCGAACGUGAUGCGUCUGGCGCCGGUGCCGCUCUACAACUCGUUCACGGACGUGUUUCGGCUGGUGACCAUUCUGCGACAGGCGUUCCACCGAACCAACAGCUCCGCCUCCGAGUGUACCGACAGCGGCAGCGAAAUCAGCGAGGACCUCGGCCUGUGAGCCGUCGCAGGCGACGACAGAGGUGGCGGGCGUGCCCAGAGCGAGCGGUGCAUGAGGCGGUGUGUUUUGGUCGUGAGUGUCACGUGUCCUUGGUACCCCGGGUGUGGUGUGGUUUGGUUCAGAAAUAUGUCCAGCGGACAGGAACAAUGAGUGUGCGUAUAUUCUGGUUGAAUGAAAUUUCUCCUACGUCGUGAUAUUUUUUCCGUAUAGUGCAAAUGGGCUGCAUGAAGGGGCUUGAGAUUUUGCUGAAAGAAUUGCUUAGCAGUUAGUGUGUAUUGUGUCGAUGUGUUUAUAUUCACGUGUAUUGUGAAGGCGAUGCUUUUGUUGGGGUGAUGUGUGGGUUCUAUCAUGAUAAUCACCAUUAUUGUUCCAUGACAAUCGCGUCACGUGUCUGGAAGUUGACAAACACUUGACGUGACCUAUACUGGAUAAGUCAGCUUAUAUUGAUGUGUAUCUGUAGCAUCGUUCGUGUGAAUAAAGUGAUUU